AUUUCUGUUUCUCCACACUAAGCUCAGUUAAGAUAAAUAAAAAGGGCUCAACCCCUUUAAUCCUAAAGCCGAGACAUUUAUGAUGUUCAAGCUCUGAAAAUAUGCUUUGUUGACUAAUAACACUAAUUAACACCCAUUUUCACUCUGUUCUCUUCAUACUUCAGAAGCCAAGUGCUUUAAUUUGUAUGAGUCCUGUUUCAUCUCCCUCCUCCAUGCUUUUUCCAUGUGCUGGCAAAAUGCUUUGAAGAUUUCCAAUGCCUGACAUUUAAAAUCCAGAAAGUCGAGCUGAGGAAACUUCUCAUCUGUGCUAUGUUUAGACUCUCUCCUGCAUUAGCUCACACAGCCGGCGCAUUGUUAAAAGCAGGAAAAAGAGAAGAAAAAGAUGCUCCUGUCUCCGCGACCCUCCCUCAACUCAGACGUGUGCGUUAUCUUCUCCGUUUCCCCUCAGAGUGUCUCUCUGUCCCAACAUUCAUUAAACCCGCAGGACCUCCAGGUGGAGGGAGGCUGCGCCGUCCGACCGCCUCCUUGUCAUCAUUUCUCGGCGACGGCUCGUUUCUCCAUCUCUGAGCCUGCACAGGUGAGCCUGUUCCCAGCGGCGUCGGCGAUGAGCUGCAGCCCCCUCUGCUCGGUACAUGGGGGUCCUAAUUAGGCCUGAGAGCUGGAGGAAAGCAAUCCCCGAGAACAAGCAGCACCGGGGCUCUGAUUAGGCUCUGCUACUGGACGGCUCUCCAGAGAUUGCUUGCAGAGUAAUCCACUCACUUUGUGGACGGAUCCAAUCUCCCGGGGCAGCUUGUCUCAGAUUGGAUGUCAGCCGCGGGAGACAGAUGCACUCGUCACAACUUUUAUGAAUGCAUCACCUUUUAUGUUCGUAUAAACAUUAAUUUUUCUCGCUUGUGCAAUAAAACAGGACAGGCCUUCGUUCACCGAUUCCCCAAGAAAAUUGGAGCUUCUAGGAUCUUUGCAAGAUAAAUACCUGCAACCUCAAGCCUCAUCUUCAGUGGAGUAUAUUUUCCCAGGAUUAUUUGGGCAUGCUUUUAUUUAUUUAUUUACUUAUUCUGAGCAAAUAUGGCUUGUGAAAAAUAUCAAAGUGUGUUAUUUGCCUCCACCAAACUCCACAACAUCAAAGACUCCCCCUCCGGUCCCACAAGAACCAAAGAACCUCGGGUUUUUUUUUUUUUUUACCCGCGCGGCUUCAUCUGUCUUCCAUCUCAGCUUUGCUCGAGCUCAAAAGGCAAAAGCCUCUAAUGAUACGAGCUGCAAGAUGGAGAGGCUGCUGCCAACAAAACAGGAAGGGAAGGGAGAAAAAGAAAGAUGAGCAACCAAACAGACACAUUUUGGGUGAUGAUUGACAUCGCCGCGUCUCUUUAUUAUUCCUGUGAUGUUCGUCCAGACUCGCUGUUCGCCCAGAAACCGUGGCCUCACACUUUGGCUGAUGCAGCAAUCUGGUGUUGAGCGCCUCUCUGCCUGCCAACCACCUGGCUGGAAGACGCAUAAUCAGCCUCCCAGUCAAUCACUCCUCACACGGCCGAUGGCGUAGGACGGGUGUCGGAGGAAGUACGGCAGACACGCGCGGGCUGCGUGGCCGACUCUGACACCUUACACCUUGCUCCCCCUGCAUUCCUGAUCAGCCUCCGUUGUUCCAGCAGCGCGCCCAUUUGCAUUAUGCAGGAGAGACGGGAGAGAAGCAACAUGGCAGCUGGGUCUGAGAUUUCGCGCUUGUUUUAGUGAGAAUCUCCUCUCCUGCGAAUUGAUUCAUUAAUAUAAAACCUGUGAGAUGUUAGCGAGGAGUUACUAUGGUGAUUAUUAUUCAUUUAUGGCAGGAUUUGCUUCCAUACCUGACCUGAACAGGCCUCUCUCUGUGAGAUCUGGUUGUUUCCAAGACGCCAUUUGGAGUUACGUAACCCAGCCAUGGAUGUCCUACAUGCCUCGUCAUGUAUAUUGCAGGAACCUAAAAAGCAAGCUCUCCACUUCACUGCACUGAGGGGAUACUAGAUUUUUCAUCUCUGAUUGAAAGGAACCAAAGGACUCCAUCACCGUGCUCCAGAGGAGAGAAAUAAUUGACGGACUCGAUCGUCCCAACGAGAGAAUUGUUUUCUGACUUACCAGGAAAAAAAAAACAACUUCUUACACUGAGAAUCCAUUUAAUUACACACAGAAAGUUAAAUAUUUAUGCUAUUAUAAUGAAUUAAUAAGGUGAUUUAAAUAAAAAAGAGGCCUGGUCAGUUUACUUGAUUCACAAAGACUGAAUCAAGUUUUGCAGUGUUUGUGGUUCAAUAAAGAUGCCUGCUGAUGAAGAGAUAAA